CGUGAACCUGCAACGCCUGAAUCUGAAGCAAAGAUAGGACCUAACUAGCAGGAAUUCAGGGAAUGUUUUUCCUCGGACCCUAUUGAAGUACAUACUGCUGGGAUUGUGUCUGCAAUGACAGCCUUAACACUUCCCAGAGCGGAGGACCCCAAUGCAGGAAUGGCAUUGCCCACCCUGAAAGUGAGAAGUUUGCCAGUCCCAUCGAACGUGAGAUUAACUAUUCAUGCUCUAGUAGCAUCCACCACAAUGUGCGAGGUGCGGUCCAAACACAGAGUGAGACAGCCCCCGCCUCGAAGAGCUUCAAAUCUCAGAAGCUGGGAGAUAAAUGGACGGAAGAGGAGAGGAUGAAAUGCACCAUCUCUUUUAAAAAAACUGGAGUUGAGCAGGAAUGUGUAGAAAAACUUCUCAAGUCCUUUCCAGUUCCUAAAUCUGACACCGCUGCUCCUCUCUGUGUUUGGACAAAACACGCAAAAUGGGCGACGAAGCCAG